UGAAGGUGGUUGAGGUAGCCAUUGUGUUUGUGAGUUUGGUGUGAUGUGUAAGAGCGUAGGAGUUUAUUUUGCUGCUUAUAGUGAUUUGGCAUAAGAUCUUGCAGUUCCUAAGAGACGUUGGAAUUCACUGGUUGGUGCCACUGUUCUUUUAUUGUGGAGCAGUGAGAAUGGAAGUAGUGUCACCCUCACCUUCAAGGAGUUCAUGAACUUCAGGCUGAAGAUGGACAAUCUCAAAGUUUCUGCCAUGACUGCAGUGCAUGGAGUGCUGUGUACAUAGCCCACGUGAACAGUGCUGGAGUGGUAUCACUGAAGAAGUUGCUGUUCUAAGUGAUGGAGGAUGUGGGACCCAGCUUACGGCAUCCGUAAAGGUCCUACCUCAUGCCCCCCUGAUGGACAUGCUUGACUUCGCAUCAAGGAAGGAUUGCCCUUGGAGAUCUCCAGUUGCCUCCACUAGACGUGCACGGAAUGUCGGCAACUAAUCGUCAGUUCCUGUGUGACAGUAGGGAAGAAAUUAUCCUUCCAAGUGACAGAGGAUGUCAAGAACUUUGCAUUCUCUAAGGAAGAUUCCUCUUUCCUAGUGGCUAAGAGUCUGUGUGUGUGUAUGUGGCGUGGUUGGCUAUUCAGAAGCAGGAGCUGACUUGAAUUUCCAUGCUCACUGUAAGUGCAGUUAUAAGGCAUUUAUGAUUUCAGUGUCAUUCUCUUGUACUUGUCACAGUGAUUGGAAAUACCAUUAGAAGGAACUGUAAUUGUUUCUCUCUGUUGAAAGUCCUGCACAUUCUGGGAUGUGACCCUUUGUAGUUUGCUAGAACUGACAUUUCAGGGGAACAUGUUACUGUCAUCUUCAAAGAGUAAGCAGAGUCCUCUGAAAUGUCAGUAAACUUAUAUCAAACUGCAUGGUUUCACACCCCUGUGGACAGUUCUCUUCCUCACCGUUGCUGUGAAGACCCGAGAUCUUACACGGUCCUGUAGCAGUGCUGGUGAGUGAGCGUGGAGUGCACAGCCUGUCCAUCCCCUGAGUCUGUUUGCCACACAAGAAUGUGAAGUGUCAGCGAGUCCCUUGUUAUAUGGGAUCCGUGUUCACAGAGCGGUUACUAGGAGAUGCAACAGAUGUCGCGAACUCCUGCCAGGCUGAUAAGGAUGUCUGCGUUAGGUGGCAGCACCGCGCAAGGCCCUAAUAGCGAUUAAAUAGAAAGCACGUACUGAACACAUUGGGUGCUGUCCAAAGAAUUUUUUCCUAAUGGUGAAAUUGAAGAUGAAUUUCUUAUGGGUGUUUCUUAAAUUAAUAUAUUUUUCAGCUGUGAAAAUUGCUAUUUAUUGUGAGAAUCAUACGGAACACAAAAAAUCAAAGAUUUUAAUGUUAAAGUAGGUGGUGCAUAGUGUAAUUACCGCUGUUUGCUGUUACAGGCGCCUAGAGGAAAGGAAUGAGCGAGACGAAACAAACCGCACUUUUUACAGCCACCAAAUCGAUACACCCUGUAUUUGCUGAAAAUGUAAUGUUGUUAUGUGAAAGGACUCAGUGGCUUUCUUAAUGUCACUGGGAUGGCGAUGAAAGAUCAACUGUGCUAGCAUUUAACACCGUUACCCCUUAGAACAGUGCCAUCCUCUCUCUGCAGGUAGGAAGUCGCACCCGUACUGCUGGACUUUUGCCAGGCAACGGUCCUCGGAAAGCAUAAUUCAUUAUUCUCACAAACCACGGGAAUAAAAAGUGUUGUUCUGCCAUUUUGAGAGGGAGGGACCCACCCAACAUGUUUACAUCCCCAUGGCAAAGCACCAAGGACCACGGGAAAGAUGCCUGCCAGAAACACAGAACCGAGUGGGAGCUGGGAAUGCAACACGACCAGAGGACAGUGAAACAGAUGUGGCGUAUCAGAUCUUCUGCUGUAAUUUCAGUUAUUUCAUUUCAGAGAUGUUAUCGCUUUCAGGCCAGGAAUGCACAACUGUCAGGUCAGGAUCUUCAUAAAGAAUCAUGAAGGGAAUGAACAGGAGGAAAAGAAGAAAGUUUAUUCCUAAUAUCUUGGCUCAGAAAGGGCUGCACAUGAGCCCACUGUUUUUUUGUGUGGGGGGGCGAGAAAUGUUUCUUACAAGUUUACGCUGAAACAGCACUGGGUCGCCCUAGAGUAGUCAGGAUAGAAGAAUGGUUUUGUUUAAUUUUAAUUUUUAUUAAUGUUUGGUACAUUCCCUUUAUUCUUCAAUUUUGUUUCCUCUUCAGGAAUCUGUGGUGGGGUGACAUACUUAACCCCCCCCACCCC